rnacentral:rRNA from 1 species
UACGUAGGUGGCAAGCGUUGUCCGGAUUUAUUGGGUUUAAAGGGUGCGUAGGCGGUCCCUUAAGUCAGCGGUGAAAUACUCUAGCUCAACUAGAGAGGUGCCAUUGAUACUGAGGGACUUGAGUGAAGUCGAAGUAGGCGGAAUUGACGGUGUAGCGGUGAAAUGCUUAGAUAUCGUCAAGAACACCGAUAGUGAAGACAGCUUACUAGACUUAUACUGACGCUGAGGCACGAAAGUGUGGGGAUCAAACAGG